AUUGAACGCUGGCGGCAGGCUUAACACAUGCAAGUCGAGCGGAGCGAGGGUGCUUGCACCUUAGCUUAGCGGCGGACGGGUGAGUAAUGCUUAGGAAUCUGCCUAUUAGUGGGGGACAACAUUCCGAAAGGGAUGCUAAUACCGCAUACGCCCUACGGGGGAAAGCAGGGGAUCUUCGGACCUUGCGCUAAUAGAUGAGCCUAAGUCGGAUUAGCUAGUUGGUGGGGUAAAGGCCUACCAAGGCGACGAUCUGUAGCGGGUCUGAGAGGAUGAUCCGCAACACUGGGACUGAGACACGGCCCAGACUCCUACGGGAGGCAGCAGUGGGGAAUAUUGGACAAUGGGCGGAAGCCUGAUCCAGCCAUGCUGCGUGUGUGAAGAAGGCCUUUUGGUUGUAAAGCACUCUAAGCGAGGAGGAGGCUACUAGUAUUAAUACUACUGGAUAGUGGACGUUACUCGCAGAAUAAGCACCGGCUAACUCUGUGCCAGCAGCCGCAGUAAAAC
rnacentral:rRNA from 1 species